UUAGUUUUUUGUACGCCUCCAUGGCGGUCAGAUGUGGUUCCCGUAACUACGUACGUUUUUGAUCGUGGGACGUGGGACUGCGUACAUGUUGUCCCUGUUUUCCUUUUACUUUCAUAAUCGUUGACUAGCGUAGAAGAUAGAGUGUAACAGUUCUGCUCAGAGUCAUUUAUUGAAUCAGAAUUCGAAGUCGAAUCAGAAGUUAGUAUUGAUAAUAAUAUAGUGAGUGAAAGAAUAGAGUGAAAGAAUAGAACAAAAUGAAUUCAAAAGAAAUAAAAGGAUGGCAGCUACUUAUCGUUAAGGAACAAAAUGAAUAUUAAAGACAUCUACUUCAUUAACUUCUUAUCAAAUCAUUCAACAGAAAAUUGAUGUUUGAAGAAAAGUCGUUCAGUAAAGACGACAGCUCAAUAUGAAGAAUUGGUAAAAUAUAUGGAGUCACAUUCAGAAUUUGCCACAAAUAAAUAUUUAACUAAAGAUGGUAAAAUCCAUCACGCUUAACAAUGGGAGCAGUUGGCAGAAAUGCUUAAUGCAUUGUCUGCAGGCAAUAAGAAAACAUCAAAGCAGUGGCAGACAGUUUGGCGUGAUUUAAAAAGUAACGCUUCAAAGAAAGCAGCAAAAUUACGCUAUGAAAGGAAUCGGACAGGAAAUUUUCCAAUGAAUUCAGAAAGUCUCGAUAAUUUGCAACAACGUAUUGUUGCCUGUAUGGAGCUACAAUAUGUUGAAGGUGCACAUGAUUGUCCGGACAGUACUCCAGAACAAGAGGAACAUCAACUUCAACUAGAACAUAGGAACGAUGAUGUUCUAAUCAUUCCACCAGAGACGACGUCUAUAAGUGAAAUUUUGAAUUUGGAAAGAAACGCAGAUAUCGAUAACGUUUUUGAAAUAAUGGAGACUAAUACAAGUAACGAAAACGAUUUGACAUAUAAUGAUGUUAUGCAAUGUUUAAAUAAUGAAGACACUACAACGAAAAGGCCGACAGGCUUAAAAAAAGCAACAUCAAAGUGACUGCAACAAAAAAAGAAGGAAAUAUAUAAUAAGAGAAGUAGUAAACGUAUAAGUGUCGAGCUGCAACAAGCUCGAGAAAAAUUUACAGAAUUGCUGAAAAUCACGCUAGAGCUCUACAGUUGUUUGCGGAGGCUUCAAUGCAGCAAGCUGAUGCUGCUAUGAUGCAAGCAGAAAAUGUACGUGUACAGAACACCUUGGAAGAAAAAAGAUUUUUAAUGGAGGAAAGAAGAUUAGAAGUAGACGAAAAACUGAUUACAACUUUAGAUAAUAUGCAUAAAUUAAUGGAAAAAAUACUAUUCAAUUAAUACGUCAUAAUCACAUAAUAUAAGAACGUUUUUAUAUCUUUAUAACUUAUUAUACGUUAUGGUUAAAAAUGUUACACACUUUA